UAGGGAAUCUUCCGCAAUGGACGCAAGUCUGACGGAGCAACGCCGCGUGAGUGAAGAAGGAUUUCGGUUCGUAAAGCUCUGUUGUUAAGGAAGAACGAGUGUGAGAAUGGAAAGUUCAUACUGUGACGGUACUUAACCAGAAAGGGACGGCUAACUACGUGCCAGCAGCCGCGGUAAUACGUAGGUCCCGAGCGUUGUCCGGAUUUAUUGGGCGUAAAGCGAGCGCAGGCGGUUAGAUAAGUCUGAAGUUAAAGGCAGUGGCUCAACCAUUGUAGGCUUUGGAAACUGUUUAACUUGAGUGCAGAAGGGGAGAGUGGAAUUCCAUGUGUAGCGGUGAAAUGCGUAGAUAUAUGGAGGAACACCAGUGGCGAAGGCGACUCUCUGGUCUGUAACUGACGCUGAGGUUCGAAAGCGUGGGUAGCAAACAGG
rnacentral:rRNA from 1 species